AUUGAACGCUGGCGGCAUGCCUUACACAUGCAAGUCGAACGGCAGCGCGGGAGCAAUCCUGGCGGCGAGUGGCGAACGGGUGAGUAAUAUAUCGGAACGUGCCCAGUAGUGGGGAUAGCCGGCGAAAGCCGGAUUAAUACCGCAUGAGACCUGAGGGUGAAAGCGGGGGAUCGCAAGACCUCGCGCUAUUGGAGCGGCCGAUAUCAGAUUAGCUAGUUGGUGGGGUAAAGGCCUACCAAGGCAACGAUCUGUAGUUGGUCUGAGAGGACGACCAGCCACACUGGGACUGAGACACGGCCCAGACUCCUACGGGAGGCAGCAGUGGGGAAUUUUGGACAAUGGGCGCAAGCCUGAUCCAGCAAUGCCGCGUGCAGGAAGAAGGCCUUC
rnacentral:rRNA from 1 species